rnacentral:rRNA from 1 species
AGCUACGGGUCUUAUGUAUUUAAUGCAUAAGGCGGUAGGGGAGCAUUCCAUGUACUGAUGAAGGCGUACCUGAGAGGGGCGCUGGAGGGGAUGGAAGAGAGAAUGCAGGUAUAAGUACACGAAAAGAAAGGUGAGAUUCCUUUCCGCCGAAAACCUAAGGUUUCCUGGGUAAAGGUCAUCUGCCCAGGGUUAGUCGGCCCCUAAGGCGAGGGCGAAAGCCGUAGUCGAUGGGAAAUCGGUUCAUAUUCCGAUACCUUUUAUAAUUUCGAUGGCAGGACGCAUGAGGUGAAACCCGGCCGGCUAACGGAUGCCGGUCAAAGUAAGCGAGCCGUUAUAAAGAAUAGUAGGCAAAUCCGCUAUUCAAGGUAAGCUGCGACAGCGAGUGAAACUAAGGUGGAGCGAAGCGGGCGUAAUCAAGGUGCCGGGAAAUACUGUCUAAGGUUAAGGUUAUAAAAGACCGUACCGUAAACCGACACAGGUAGAUGGGAUGAGAAAUCUAAGGCGCUCGAGAGAACUCGCGUUAAGGAAUUCGGCAAAAUGCACACGUAACUUCGGAAAAAGUGUGACCUCCUUUUUUUUAAAGAUGAGGGGGUGGCAGAAAGCAGGCCCAGGCGACUGUUUAUCAAAAACACAGCCAUCUGCGAACCAGCAAUGGGACGUAUAGGUGGUGACACCUGCCCGGUGCCGGAAGGUUAAGAGGAGCGGUGAGCAGUAAUGCGAAGCUGUUAAUUGAAGCCCCGGUAAACGGCGGCCGUAACUAUAACGGUCCUAAGGUAGCGAAAUUCCUUGUCGGGUAAGUUCCGACCCGCACGAAUGGUGUAACGAUUCUGGGCACUGUCUCAACGCGAGACUCGGUGAAAUUUAUAUACCGGUAAAGAAGCCGGUUACCCAUAGUUAGACGGUAAGACCCCGUGAACCUUCACCGUAACUUACUAUUGGGAUUUUAUUUAUCAUGUGUAGAAUAGGUGGGAGACUAUGAGGCGUGGUCGUUAGGCUGCGAAGAGUCGAAAAGUGAAAUACCACUCUUGAUGAAUGAAAUUUCUAACCCGUGCCGUGAAGCCGGUAUGGGGACAAUGGUAGGCAGGCGGUUUGACUGGGGCGGUCGCCUCCUAAAGAGUAACGGAGGUGCGCGAAGGUCUCCUCACGCCGGUUGGAAAUCGGCGCAGCGAGUGUAAAGGCACAAGGAGGCUUAACUGCGAGAGUGACAGCUCAAGCAGAUACGAAAGUAGGUCUUAGUGAUCUGGCGGUAGCGAGUGGAAGCGCCGUCACUUAACGGAUAAAAGGUACUCCGGGGAUAACAGGCUGAUUUUCCCCAAGAGUUCACAUCGACGGGAAAGUUUGGCACCUCGAUGUCGGCUCAUCGCAUCCUGGGGCUGAAGUAGGUCCCAAGGGUUUGGCUGUUCGCCAAUUAAAGCGGUACGUGAGCUGGGUUCAGAACGUCGCGAGACAGUUCGGUCCCUAUCUGCUAUGGGCGUUGGAUACGUGAGAGGAGCUGUUUUUAGUACGAGAGGACCGAAAUGGACGAACCUCUGGUGUACCGGUUAUCCUGCCAAGGGUAAGUGCUGGGUAGCUAAGUUCGGAAGGGAUAACCGCUGAAGGCAUCUAAGCGGGAAGCCCGCCUCAAGAUUACAUAUCCCUCAGGGUUUAACCCUGCUAAAGACUCCUUGCACACUACAAGGUUGAUAGGUUGCAGGUCUAAGCACAGUAAUGUGUUAUAGCCGAGCAAUACUAAUAAGUCGUGAGGCUUGACC